GGUCUUAUAGUCAUAGAAUAUGAUAUCAAACUGCAAUUUUGAAGGAGUAAAAUUUACUAAGGCUU
rnacentral:tRNA from 1 species